UACAGAGGUCCCAAGCAUUAUCCGGAAUCAUUGGGCGUAAGGGGUGUCAAGGCGGUUAUGUUAGUCGUUCGUAAAAUCCGUAGGCUCAACCUACGGCCCGCGAGCGAAACGGCAUGACUAGAGGUCGGGAGAGGUGCGUGGAACUCACGGUGUAGGGGUGAAAUCCGUUGAUAUCGUGGGGAACACCAAAGGCGAAGGCAGCGCACUGGCCCGAAUCUGACGCUCACACACGAAAGCCAGGGUAGCGAACGGG
rnacentral:rRNA from 1 species